AUACAGAGGUGCCAAGCGUUGUUCGGAUUUAUUGGGCGUAAAGGGUGCGUAGGUGGCGAUGCAAGUCGGAUGUGAAAUCCCGGAGCCUAACUCCGGAAUGGCAUUCGAAACUGCAUCGCUCGAGGUCUGGAGAGGUGACUGGAAUUCUCGGUGUAGCAGUGAAAUGCGUAGAUAUCGAGAGGAACACCAGAGGCGAAAGCGAGUCACUGGACAGAACCUGACACUGAGGCACGAAAGCCAGGGGAGC
rnacentral:rRNA from 1 species